GUGGAGUUACUGACGACCUAUAAAUACCAUCAAGGUAAAGUCCAACAGCUGAUUCUUGGCAACAGUGCAGAAGGAUCAAAUCCAAGCUCGGGUUCAGUUAGAUUCUGUGGCCAUUGUAAAGAAUAAGGCAGCUUCUAACAGCCAUCGGACUCACCAAUUGUGAGUGGAAAAGGAAGGCACAACAUGGUAUGAGUUAUUAUUAAUGCCUGUCGCUAUGUGGCACGGAAGAUCUCUGCCCUUUGUGGGAGGAAAGGGGAAAAUCGAAUGGUAUCUGUGACAACUCCGGCUGCAGUCAGUCAGGCAAAGUAUCCUAAUGUAGAUCAUGGAAAAAUGCAAAUGCCUAUCCACAAGGAAAUGCCACGUCCUUGGCCUUCGAAUGAGCAAUGUGGCUCCUGAGGAUAAAGAAUGGGUCCUGUAAAAGGGGCUCAGCUACCUCAGUGUAUUUUGUGAAUGUGGUUAAUGUUCCAACAAUAAACCAUACAAGAAACUGUUGUUCUUGUACAGUGAUUGAUGAAGGCUUGUUUACAAUCUCUCAAUGUAGAAAUGAACUUGACUGAAAAUAUUUCACCUGUACCUCUGAAACAGCAGAACUUAGAAAUGCAUACAUUGAUGUUAAUUUUCUGUCACCAACAUAGUAUGCAAGCAUAAUGCUCUUAAUUAAACGGAUUUGGUUUAUAUUCAAUCUCGCUGCUGGUAACAGCAGGACCUGCUUCAACUAAGUUUAAAAUUAAUGCACAAGAUCAUUCCCAAUAUUCAUAGGUCACAUUUGCUUUGUUCAAUCAUCACUUUCUCUUAUGUUUUCUUUGGUUGAAGUAAUGCUGGUAUUGGAAAUCAGAAAAUUGACUUGUUUAAAACCGUAUCUACCAAAGUCUACUCUAUGAAAUAGGGUAGAGCCUUAAUGGGUUUCUUAUGGCUUAGUUGCAGCAACUCUUCAAGCACACAUUGUUCUCACUAAUUGGAUUUCUUUUCUUGUUCUAUAAUAACUUUCCUAGUUACAGGUUAACCAUUAAGAUCAAAGUUCAUGUCUAAAACAACAAGAAAACAUUCUGGUCACCUACUCUAAACAGUAAUCUCCACUUGUAUUUGAUUGGAUACUUUCUCCAAAACAAUAUACAUAUCAGCUAUUACUACUAGCUCUAAAGAGAGUAACAUUUUAAAAUAGAUAUUUUAAAUCCUUCUAUAUGCUUAGUGGCAAAGAAAACAUGAAAAAUUGCUCAAUUUAGAAAAAGUUAUAAAUGUUAACAAAAUGACAAUCAUUGAAAAACAAAGAUUUUCUUGAAAUCAUCAAUGCAAGUUGACAUUACUUUUGUAAAUGAAAUAUGACAAAUAUUUUGUUACCAAAUUACACACUUUUAGUAAAUUAAAACAUUCAUACCUUAACAAAAUAGGUUCAUGAAGAAGGUUCCUUGAUGCCCCAUAGAAUUACCUUGAUUUGACAUUCUUGUAAUCCUGUUCUCAGAGUUCUGAACACUAACAGAUUCUGCUGAAAUUAAAUCUGUUACAAUUCUGAAUAUUGCACAAUGCCGAAUGCUUGUUGGCUAAGUUUUGUCAAAUAAUGAAAUCCAUUCUUGCUGCUGACUGUUUUAAUUCUAACAUGUUCCGUUACUUUCAGUCUUAAAUAUUUGUCAUCUCAAUUGUAAUUAAUGUUUUAAUUAAAAAUCGUACAAGUGAAAAUAAAAUAUAUUUCAAACCCUUGAACCUGAAUUGAUUUUACAAAUGUAAUAUUCUGUCAAUGAAGUUUCUGUUCUAAAUCCUCAAUAAAUGUGGAAAUCAUGA